rnacentral:rRNA from 1 species
GUGAAGAAGGACGUGAUUACCGGCGAAACGUUUCGGGGAGUUGGAAGUAAGCUUUGAUCCGAAAGUAUCCGAAUGAGGAAACUCAAUAACUUCUUACUGAAUCUAUAAGUAAAGAAAGAGCAAACCUAGGGAAUUGAAACAUCUUAGUACCUAGAGGAAAAGAAAGUAAAAACGAUUCCCUUAGUAGUGGCGAACGAAACGGGAACAGCCUAAACUUUUAAUAAAUUUUAUUGAAAGGGUUGUGGGGUAAAAAAGAAGUGAAUUUAGCGUAAGCUUGAAUUACUUUUAGAAAUUAGGUGAAAUAAUUGGAAAAUUAUACCAAAGAAAGUGAUAGUCUUGUAACCAAAAAUUUCUUAUAUAUUAUUUAUUCCCGAGUAGCAUGGGGCACGUGGAAUCCCGUGUGAAUCUGCGAGGACCACCUCGUAAGGCUAAAUAUUCCUGGAUGUCCGAUAGCGAAUAGUACCGCGAGGGAAAGGUGAAAAGAACCCCGGGAGGGGAGUGAAAUAGAACGUGAAAUUGCAAGCCCACAAACAGAAGGAGAACGACUUAACGUUUCACUUCGUGCCUGUUGAAGAAUGUUCCGGCGACUUAUAGUUAGUGGCAGGUUAAGAUAGAGAUAUCGGAGCCAGAGUGAAAGCGAGCUUGAAUAGAGCGUUCGUCACUAGUUAUAGACCCGAACCCGGUUGAUCUAACCAUGGCCAGGAUGAAACUUAGGUAAUACUAAGUGGAGGUCCGAACCGACUGAUGUUGAAAAAUCAGCGGAUGAGUUGUGGUUAGGGGUGAAAUGCCAAUCGAAACCGGAGCUAGCUGGUUCUCCCCGAAAUGUAUUUAGGUGCAGCGGUUAAUGUUUAAGCAUAGGGGUAAAGCACUGUUUCGGUGCGGGCUGGUAAUUCGGUACCAAAUCGAGGCAAACUCUGAAUACUAUGUGUAUGAUUAACCAGUAAGACUAUGGGGGAUAAGCUUCAUAGUCAAGAGGGAAACAGCCCAGAUCACCAGCUAAGGCCCCUAAAUAAUUGCUAAGUGAUAAAGGAAGUGGAAAGGCUUAGACAACCAGGAGGUUUGCUUAGAAGCAGCAAUCCUUUAAAAAGUGCGUAAUAGCUUACUGGUCUAGCAAUUCUGCGCCGAAAACUUACGGGACUAAGUAAUUUGCCGAAGCUGUGAGAUAGAAAUAUAUACUUUUGUAUAAAACACUAUCGGUAGGGGAGCGUUCUGUUGUAGAUUGAAGUGUUAACGAAAGUGGGCAUGGACGAAACAGAAGUGAGAAUGUCGGAUUGAGUAGCGAAAACAUUGGUGAGAAUCCAAUGCUCCGAAAACCUAAGGUUUCCUCCGCAAGGCUCGUCCACGGAGGGUGAGUCAGGUCCUAAGGUGAGGCUGAGAAGCGUAGUUGAUGGACAAUAGGUUAAUAUUCCUAUACUGAUUAUUACUGGUAUCGAGGGACGAAGAAGGCUAAACUAGCCAGAUAUUGGUUACUGGUUUAAAUAUUCAAGGUGUUGAAGAUUAGAGAAAAUAAUCUGAGCUGAGAUAUGAAUACAAGAUUUACAAAAUCAAAGUAGUUGAUGUCAUACUUCCAAGAAAAGCUCGCUAUGCCAUAAGUAAUAAUCACCUGUACCUUAAACCGACACAGGUAGGUAGGUAGAGAAUACCAAGGAGCGCGGGAGAACCCUCCUUAAGGAACUCGGCAAAAUAGCUCUGUAACUUCGGAAGAAAGAGUGCCUUUUAGGCUGCAAUAUCAAGUUCCAAGCAACUGUUUAGCAAAAACACAGGUCUCCGCUAAGUUGUAAAACGACGUAUGGGGGCUGACGCCUGCCCAGUGCCGGAAGGUUAAAGAAGUUGGUUAGCGCAAGCGAAGCUAGUAACUGAAGCCCCGGUGAACGGCGGCCGUAACUAUAAACCAGGCCAAAUUGUAGUUAUAAAAUUUAGCUAUAUGCUGGAACAUCUCGUUUUACGUUUUCACUACUCUUUAAUUAAGAAAGCAGAUAAAUUUUAUCUCUUGUACAAAUUAAAAGUAAAAAUGUGAAAAAUAGAGAAAAUCAGCAGGAAAGACUUUAAUAAUAUAUUUUAAAAUUUCUUUGUUUAUUAAAUUUUUGAUUAUGAGCGAAUUUCAAGACAAUUUUGAUGAAGAAGAAAUUAAACCUAUUCCAGCAAGACCCGUUAUUCCAUUAAAAAAAGGUUUUUAUGUAGCUGGCUUUGUUGAUGGAGAAGGAAGUUUUUACGCUAGUGCACGAAGACGAACUGAUUAUCAAACAGGUUGGAAAUUUAUAGCUAGUUUUUCUGUAGGAAAUAAAGAUAAAAGUACGCUUGAUUUAUGUCAAGAGUGUAUUGGUUGUGGAACUAUAAGAGAAUCGAAAGAAGAUUUCUAUGUCUUAGAAACUUCAAAUAGACGAGUUCUCGAACAGUUGGUUGUUCCUUUUUUUAAAGAUUAUCCCUUUGAAACAACAAAGAAAAUCUAUGAGUUUGAACUUUUUCAAAAGCUUUUGUCUUUAUUAGAUAAAGGAAUUAAAACAAGAUUAGAUUUAGAAAAUUACUUAAGUUUACGAAGAGAACUUGAUAAAUAUCGUACCUCUCGAUCAUCAAAUACAGAUGAAAUUAUAAGAAAGACUUUUAGACCUAUUGGUUGAAAAAAGUUUAUUAAAGAAUCCUCAGAGACUAUACGCUAAACGAAUAGAAAAAAUUCUAUUUGAUGAUAUAGUCCGAUCUUUAUGGUGACAUAAAGGUAAAGAAAAUUCUACCAUUUUCUUUACGUCUUUUGAGAAAAAGAUUAACACGAAUGAACGGUCCUAAGGUAGCGAAAUUCCUUGUCGGGUAAGUUCCGACCCGCACGAAUGGCGUAAUGAUUUGGAAGCUGUCUCGAGGAGGGACUCGGUGAAAUAGAACUGUCUGUGAAGAUGCGGACUACCUGCGCCUGGACAGUAAGACCCUAUGAAGCUUUACUGUAUCCUGAUAUUGGAUUUCGAUUUUAUUUGCGCAGAAUAGGUGGGAGACUUUGAAACUAGCUUUUUGGGGCUAGGUGAGUCAUUAGUGAGAUACCACUCUGAUAAAAUUAAAAUUCUAACUUCAUACCGUAAGCCGGUUGAAAGACAGUUUCAGGUGGGCAGUUUGACUGGGGCGGUCGCCUCCCAAAAAGUAACGGAGGCGUACAAAGGUUUCCUCAGAUCGGUCAGAAAUCGAUCUUAGAGUGCAAAGGCAAAAGGAAGCUUAACUGUGAGACAAACAAGUCGAGCAGAGACGAAAGUCGGUCUUAGUGAUCUGACGAUGCUGUGUGGAAAGGUCGUCACUCAACGGAUAAAAGUUACUCUAGGGAUAACAGGCUGAUCUUUUCCAAGAGUUCCUAUCGACGAAAAGGUUUGGCACCUCAAAUGGGGGCACUAUAUAGAAUAUAUGGUUGCAUUUUGGCUAUAUGCUGGAAACUCCGUCCAUUAAAAAUGGUUAGUAUCCCAAAAUACUUAGAUUAACUAAGUGAAAAUUUUUGGGUGCGGACAAUCAGCAGGGAAGUUUACUUUACUAGUAUAACCCCUCAACGACUACACGCCGAACAACCUAAUUAGAAUAGGUUGAUGAUAUAGUCUGAUCUUUUAUGCGAAUAAAAGGGCUUUUUAGCCAUAAAGUAAUUGGAUCUCUUAAUUUAAAAAUUUCAUCAAAAUAUGAAGGAAUUUUGCUUUCAAAAACAAUUAUCUUAUUAACACAAAUGCGAUGUCGGCUCAUCGCAUCCUGGGGCGGAAGUACGUCCCAAGGGUUGGGCUGUUCGCCCAUUAAAGCGGUACGUGAGCUGGGUUCAGAACGUCGCGAGACAGUUCGGUCCAUAUCCGGCGUAGGCGUUAGAGUAUUGAGAGUGACCUUUCUCUAGUACGAGAGGACCGAGAAAGACAUACCACUAGUAUACCAGUUAUCGUGCCAACGGUACACGCUGGGUAGCUAUGUAUGGUUAGGAUAACCGCUGAAAGCAUCU